GGGGUUUCCAUGCUCAUAUCAAAUAAUACAGACUUCAAACUAAAGUCAAUCAAAAAGGAUAAAGAAGGACACUACAUACUGCUCAAGGGAACCAUACACCAAUAAGACUUAACAAUUAUAAAUAUAUAUGCCCCAAAUAAGGGAGCAUCUAUGUUCAUCAAACAAACUCUUCUCAAGUUCAAGAGUCAAAUAGACCACAAUAAAAAUAAUUUUGGGUGACUUUAACACACUUCUUUCAUCACUAGAUAGAUCUUCCAAACAAAAGCUGAACAUAGAAACUAUAGAACUCAAUAAUACAAUCAAUAACUUAGACUUAACUGACAUAUUAGAAUAUUUCAUCCUUCAAUGAGAGAAUACACUUUCUUCUCAGCAGCACAUGGAUCCUUCUCUAAAACAGACCAUAUACUAUGCCACAAAGCAACUCUUAUCAAAUAAUAAAAAAGUAGAGAUACUGCCCUGUAUUCUAUCAGGUCAUAAUGGAAUGAAAUUAGAAAUCAAUGAUAAAAUAAGAAAUAAAAUCCACUCCAACACCUGGAAACUAAAUAAUAUGAUACUGAAUGAACAAUGGGUUACAGAGGACAUCGAGGAGGAGAUUAAAAAAGUUUUUAGAGGAGAUUAAAAAGUUUUUAGAGGUAACAGAUACAACAUGUUGAAAUCUCUGGGACACUAUUAAGGCAGUUCUAAGAGGAAAGUUUAUUGCAUGGAGUUCAUACCUUAAAAGAAGAAAAAGCCAACAAAUAAAUGACUUAAUGACUACAUCUCAAAGCCCUAGAAAAAGAAGAACAAAUCAACACCAAAAGCAACAGAAGACAUGAAAUAAUUAAAAUCAGAGCUGAAAUUGAUGAAGUUGAAACAAAAGAAACAAUUGAAAAAAUUGACAGAACAAAAAGUUGGUUCUUUGAAAAAAUAAAUAAAAUUAACAGACCCUUAGCCUUGCUAACAAGGAGGAGAGAGAAAACUCAAAUCACUAACAUACGUGAUGAAAAAGGAAAUAUCACAACAGACACUAUAGAAAUACAGAAGAUAAUUAGAAAUUAUUUUGAAAAUCUGUAUUUCAAUAAAA
rnacentral:lncRNA from 1 species